UUGACCUCGGAUCAGGUAGGGAUACCCGCUGAACUUAAGCAUAUCAAUAAGCGGAGGAAAAGAAACCAACAGGGAUUGCCCUAGUAACGGCGAGUGAAGCGGCAACAGCUCAAAUUUGAAAGCUAGCCUUCGGGUUCGCAUUGUAAUUUGUAGAGGAUGCUUUGGGUAAAACGCCAGUCUAAGUUCCUUGGAACAGGACGUCAUAGAGGGUGAGAAUCCCGUAUGUGACUGGAAACGUUGACCUAUGUAAAGCUCCUUCGACGAGUCGAGUUGUUUGGGAAUGCAGCUCUAAAUGGGAGGUAAAUUUCUUCUAAAGCUAAAUAUUGGCGAGAGACCGAUAGCGCACAAGUAGAGUGAUCGAAAGAUGAAAAGCACUUUGGAAAGAGAGUUAAAAAGCACGUGAAAUUGUUGAAAGGGAAGCGCUUGCAAUCAGACUUGUUUAAACUGUUCGGCCGGUCUUCUGACCGGUUUACUCAGUUUGGACAGGCCAGCAUCAGUUUCGGCGGCCGGAUAAAGGCUCUGGGAAUGUGGCCUCCACUUCGGUGGAGGUGUUAUAGCCCAGUGUGUAAUACGGCCAGCCGGGACUGAGGUCCGCGCUUCGGCUAGGAUGCUGGCGUAAUGGUUGUAAGCGACCCGUCUUGAAACACGGACCAAGGAGUCUAACAUCUAUGCGAGUGUUCGGGUGUCAAACCCCUGCGCGUAAUGAAAGUGAACGGAGGUGAGAACCGCAAGGUGCAUCAUCGACCGAUCCUGAUGUCUUCGGAUGGAUUUGAGUAAGAGCAUAGCUGUUGGGACCCGAAAGAUGGUGAACUAUGCCUGAAUAGGGUGAAGCCAGAGGAAACUCUGGUGGAGGCUCGCAGCGGUUCUGACGUGCAAAUCGAUCGUCAAAUUUGGGUAUAGGGGCGAAAGACUAAUCGAACCAUC
rnacentral:rRNA from 1 species